AGUGAACGCUGGCGGUAGGCCUAACACAUGCAAGUCGAACGGCAGCACAGUAAGAGCUUGCUCUUACGGGUGGCGAGUGGCGGACGGGUGAGGAAUACAUCGGAAUCUACUUUUUCGUGGGGGAUAACGUAGGUAAACUUACGCUAAUACCGCAUACGACCUACGGUUGAAAGCAGGGGAUCUUCGGACCUUGCGCGAUUGAAUUAGCCGAUGUCGGAUUAGCUAGUUGGCGGGGUAAAGGCCCACCAAGGCGACGAUCCGUAGCUGGUCUGAGAGGAUGAUCAGCCACACUGGAACUGAGACACGGUCCAGACUCCUACGGGAGGCAGCAGUGGGGAAUAUUGGACAAUGGGCGAAAGCAUGAUCCAGCAAUACCGCGUGGGUGAAGAAGGCCUUCGGGUUGUAAAGCCCUUUUGUUGGGAAAGAAAAGCAGCAGGUUAAUACCCCGAUGUUCUGACGGUACCCAAAGAAUAAGCACCGGCUAACUUCGUG
rnacentral:rRNA from 1 species